CUUGCUCUGAGUGAAUGCACCCCUCGUGCACCCGGGAGCUGAGGACCUCAGCCUGCAGAAGCAGAAUCUCCGUGGUGGGAUCCAGAGCUUGUAUCUUGGCCAAGCCCUCCCAGAAGUUUCUAACAUACACUGAAGGUUCUCCUGCUUCAAGAGCCAAGAUCCUCAGGCACAAAAUCAGGCAACAGGAGUCCUGGGCUCUGCCCUUGCUUGUGGAGUUCUGGAAACGAAUGCAUUUGGAGUAGGUGAUGUUUAAUGAUCCUUUCUGUUCUCAAUUCCUGUAAUACAAAUAAACAAUAAAAUACUUACAUCUUUAUUAUUUAC
rnacentral:lncRNA from 10 species